rnacentral:rRNA from 1 species
UACGUAGGGGGCAAGCGUUGUCCGGAUUUAUUGGGCGUAAAGAGCGUGUAGGCGGCCACACAGGUCAGCUGUGAAAACUCGAGGCUCAACCUCGAGAUGUCGGCGGAAACCGUCUGGCUAGAGUCCGGAAGAGGAGAGUGGAAUUCCUGGUGUAGCGGUGAAAUGCGCAGAUAUCAGGAAGAACACCUAUGGCGAAGGCAGCUCUCUGGGACGGUACUGACGCUGAGACGCGAAAGCGUGGGGAGCGAACAGG